CCAACUGAGCUCAGCGGAACUUGCUGGGGUCCCGAGGGCAGAGCCCUUGGGCGCACGAAGCUCGGGGAUCGGGUGAGUAGGGGGGUGCCUAGGCGAGUUUGGAAAUCUUUAUUGGCAAAGUACACCUGGACUUCUAGUGAUGGAGAACAGAGCACGCGCUGGGCAAGUCUGAUGUCUGAGAUUGUGCGCCCCUGCCCGAAGCAGGCGGGAGUAUGGGAGUGACAAAGUAUCGCUCCAGAAGGAUCUUGACACUUGCUCUGGAUCCCUGGGUUCAGCGGAUCGCGCGUCCACCACGUACUGUAGAGCCUGAGAAGGGAGGCUUUUAAAGUGCCAAUAAUUGACAACUGGGGCGCUGAAGGGGAGAAUUUGAAACAAUACCCUGUCCUUGGUUCAGAUGGGAGAUCAAAGAGGGAAUCCCAGCAGCUUUCAAAUCCAUGAAGAGUUUUCCUCUGCAAUGCUGUUCUGCUGCGCUGUUUCUACUUUAGAGCCAGCCAACCACGGACUGAAUCUGUUGAAACUGACUGACCCAAGGCUGUGCGCUCAAGCAAGACUGCCACCCAGUGCUAAAGAUUGAACCCAGAGUCUCAUGCACGUGCUAGGCAAUUGCUCUACCACCGUGCUCCAUCUCCGGCCUGUGAUUUAAAAAGCAAAGAAUCUAAAUAUACCUUAGAGAAGUUAAGAAGCAUGCAGUCAAAGGAAGAAAACCCCAAGGGGCUGGAAAUGUUAACUCUUUUCUAACAACUAAAGAAGAAGUGAAAUAAUCUUUUUUUAUGAACUCCAGCAGGUUAGUUUGGGCUUCUUCUCGUAAUGGUGACAAGGUCCAGCGGAAAACAGGGGCUUGCAAGCCUCUUGAGCUGAGGCUCAGAACUUGUAGGAUGUCACUUUUGUUGAACUCUGUGCUAAAGCAAGUCGCAAAACUGGACCAGACUCAAAGUUCCUGAUGGGCACGUUGGACAUUGCAGAAGCACAUUGCAGAGCGCACAGCGGAGGGAAGAGUGGGGAGUUGUGCCUCCUUGUACAGCCUGCCAUGCUGACCACUGACUAGCAUCUGGGUAAGGGAAACCAGAUUGCCCUUCCUAGGGGGAGUAGACACCAUCUAACUCUUGAGGGCCUGCUGCAAAAGACAGAGGAAAAGAGAAUUCCUUGUCUCUGCCUGACAGCUUGAACUGCAGCAUUGGUCUUCUGCCCUUCUCUGCACUUGCACCGUCAGUCCUCCAGUACUUAGAGCUACAGCACCAGCUUCCCCAGGUCUCUAGUUUACAGGUGGCAGAUCAGGGAACUUCUCAGCCUCCAUAAUUGCAUGACCCAAUGCCUUGUUAUGAAUUUUGAUGUCUAUCUUCGUCUAUAUCUAUGUUCACAUUCUUAUCCAUAUUCUAUGGGUUCUGUAUCUCUGGAUGAGCUGGAGGCCUUCACCAAGUGACUUAUUUUGGCUAGUGAUAGAAUGGCAUAUCAGUGCUGAGCCUGGGCCCUAGAGAGACAUUGCGUGUUUCUUGUGCUUCUGCCCCGGGACAGCUGCUGUUCUAAGGAGGAUGAGAGACAAAUGGAGCAGACCUAGAUGCAGCCUGCAUUCUGGGGCUGAGUUCAGCCUCGGCCCAGCCUUGGUCAGUCAACCUUCAUCUGCUGAAAUGAUUGUUUCUAGCAACUGAGUUUCAGGGUGAUGGUUACAAAGCAUUAUUGUAGAACCAGUUAAUUUUCUAGGAAAAUGAGAGCUGAGUUACCUUCCCAUGAUUCAGUCUCACAUUUAUUGAAACACAACUUGGUUAAGAAAAUUCUGUGUAAGAUGUUAUAGUUGGGAGACCAUGCAUACCCCAUCUACACAAUUUGCCUCAUCUACGUAAUCCUUCCAGUAUUAUUAACCUAAUAUUUCUUCUUGACCCAAUUUCAAAUGCAUCAUUUUGAUCAACAUGUCUACUACUUAGAUCUAAACUGUGUUCAAGUGCAAUGCAUUAGUUAUAUUUUUCAUAUCUGUGUCCGUAUCUAUAUCUGCAUGUCUAUCUAUCAUCUAGCUAUCUAUCUACCUAUCAUUUGUCUAUCAUCUCUCCAUCCAUCCAUCUAUCUAUUCUGUGGUAGCAUCAUUCUAUGUGUGCAUUUACCCAAUCCCAUGCUUAUUUUCCUGGGAACACAGAAGGAUUACAUCAUCUAGCUAGGUAGGUCCAUGUAACUGAGUUCUGCACAGGAAGUGGUUUACUCAUUUCUCGACCUGAUCCCUGGAAUCUGAAUACAUUUUAGGAAGCUAGGGUCCUUGAAAGUGGCAGAGUCUGAGUUAGUAGAGGGAAGGAACUUUGAUUUUUGGAUCACCUUGUAGAUCAAAAGUUUUCUUCUCUGCUACUCCACCAACCUACACUGGGUUGUUGGUGGACAAGAACUCAAUAGCUGGUUAAGAAUUCAAGUUAUUUUUUUCAACAGUUUGAGUCAGCUUGUCUAAUAAAAAUACAGAGCCGUUAAAAUUAAGAUAUAUCCAUUAUUACCUAAUCUUACCUUCUGUGCCAUCUGUAAUUUAUAUACCACAUCUUGGAAACAAACUGCCACUUGACAGUCAAGGAAACUGGGCCUCAAAGAGGAAAGAUGCCACCCCAGUGUGCAUAGCAACUUAGAGCAAGAGCUGAGACUCAGAUCCAAGGUGCUGAUUCAGCUGCAGACUGGCAGUAUUUUGGGAAAGCUGUCCAUGUAUUUAGUUUAUCAGGAACUACAGGGGAAACUCCCCUCAGAAUUAUGAAGUAGCUCCUGACAGACUUUGCUGCUGUCCUUAUAUCACUUGGGAACACUGAGAGAUGCUAAGGACUCCCCACUUUGAUUACUGGAGACUUUGCCUGAGUGUAUUUUCUGGUCACAGGGGUGUGCCUCAUUUGCAUGCUGCGAUGGAUGGAUGGAUACUUUGACCAUGGAUACUUUGACCAGCAUGGAUACUUUGACCAACUUCAAAGUGGAUUUAAUUCAACUGGGAAGAAAAUCUGAGCACAACAUUAAAAAUAUAUGUUUCCCAUACUUUGACCACAAGGAAUAAAUAUUUUCUUGCACAACACCCUGCUAAAAUUAUUACAAUGGGAGUGACCCCCAAUUAGCAACAGGCAGGAAUAUAGCAACUUCCCCCAUGGAAAUCAUCCUGGGGCAUGUGGUCCCCUGGAUUAGUCCCAGUUGUCUGCAGUGCUAACUUGCCCAUGAACAGCUGCCUCAGUUCCUUUCCUCUCCCCCUCCCUUCCUGCCUGAGGAUGUAGCAGAGAGCACGCUAUGGACUGUCCCCACAGUUGCAUGCUGAAAGCUCUCAUCCCUAGCGUGAUAGCCUUUGGAAGUGAGACUUACGGGUGGUGAUGAGGCCAUGAGGGUGGAACGCUAAGGAGUGGGAUUAGGGCCUUUUUAUGAAAAGGUAUUGAAGAACUUGUUUCCUCUCUCUGCUGUCUGC